GUAGCCGAGUGAAAGAGGACCGGAGGAGAGAAGUUGAAGAGGAGAGGUGAUGUGAUGAGAGGAGAAAGGCGGAUUACAAGAUGGAUGAUCUUUUGAGGAGAGGAGAGAAGAGGAGAUCUAUAUUUUUUUAAAUUAAGUGGACAUGCCUCAUUGAUAUUUCUACAACAAAAACAAUGCCAGUGCGGGUCGAUAAAAGAGCUGCAUGUUGCUCUCUGGAUUCAAACUGCACUUGGCUUUGCCUCCCAGCUGGAGCUCUUGAAUCUCUACUCAGCUGUCAAGCUGUCUUUCUAACAGAUUAUCGCUCUCACCCCGAGAAAUUAGACCAUGCAGUGAUCCAGCCUAUCUUCAUACACAGCCACAAUCUGCGCAUUAAAAAACAGUGGCGCACACACGCACACACACGCUAACGCGUAAACACACACAAUCACAAGCCUGCUCGGUGACAUUACAUCUCUGCUGGGGGAGCUCAUUAAACACAGACACCGACGGUGAGAUGAAACCAGUGAUGCAGCGCCUGAUACCAAUAUAAAGUCCUGCACCAACCAAGAGGAAGGAGAGAGAACUCAGAAAUGUCUUCUGUGCAGUAUGACAUUGUUCAAACGUCUCUUAAGUCGCAUAGAACAAGCAACUGCCGGUGUGGUUCCAAUGAGAGAGCACCAUCGUCUGCGGUCAGCAGCAGCUCUAGCAGCCUUCACAGUUCCAUUUCCUAUGAUCCCUUUGAUGUCAUCAAGCCAACACACUGCAGAAUUCGAAGGGAUUCGCUAACCUGCAAGUUCCUCUUUCGGGUUAUGGUUACAACCAACUGUGCUGGUGUUCUUCUCCACUUCCUGCAAGACUUAAGUCUGCAGAGAAUUAUCCACUCUGAGACAAACAUGGGACGUUUAAACCGUGGUGGUUGAGCUCGGGGUACGUAGCUUCUCCUUACAGCAACAGAAAGAUCAGUGUGCAUGUUAAUUUGUGUCUGUUGGAUGAAUUACUGAAACACACAGUGGAGACAUUCUCAGUGAAGUGAAGAAAUUUUCUGGGACAAAGAGUCAUGUAAGGCUAGGACAGACUUGAAGAUUUUUCGUUGUGGUGACAGUAAUAAUGUUUUAUAUAUCCAGCAAACAUUAAAACUGGCGGGGAUUAAAGAAACUUAAAGUUUAUUUUCAUUAUUGUUUAAUCUGCAGCUUAUCUUCCCAAUGAAUCCUUUAGCAGUGAUGGAAUAAUUGAGUAAUCAGGUACUGGGCUUGCAAGACACAAUUUUGAGGUUUUAAUACUUUGAGUAUUUCAAUAAAC